rnacentral:rRNA from 2 species
UACGUAGGGUGCAAGCGUUAAUCGGAAUUACUGGGCGUAAAGCGUGCGCAGGCGGUUUUGUAAGACAGGCGUGAAAUCCCCGAGCUCAACUUGGGAAUGGCGCUUGUGACUGCAAGGCUAGAGUAUGUCAGAGGGGGGUAGAAUUCCACGUGUAGCAGUGAAAUGCGUAGAGAUGUGGAGGAAUACCGAUGGCGAAGGCAGCCCCCUGGGACGUCACUGACGCUCAUGCACGAAAGCGUGGGGAGCAAACAGG